AUCCGCAUGCUCGGGAGAGAGGCUCUGACAGUGAGGAUUUAUCCGAGUCGAGCCAUUUGCUAGUUGAAAAAAGCAAAUCCACUCCUUCUAUUCGAUCGAUUACGAUUGUUUAGAGAAUUUCUGGAACCCCCCCUACUUCUAACACAAGUAGCACACACUUGACUAUCCUUUUUGUGUUACUUGAGG
rnacentral:snRNA from 1 species